rnacentral:rRNA from 1 species
UGCCAGCCGCCGCGGUAAUACAGAGGGUGCGAGCGUUAAUCGGAAUUACUGGGCGUAAAGGGUGCGUAGGUGGUUUAAUAAGUCAGAUGUGAAAGCCCUGGGCUUAACCUAGGAAUGGCAUUUGAAACUAUUAGACUAGAGUACAGUAGAGGGAAGUGGAAUUUCCGGUGUAGCGGUGAAAUGCGUAGAUAUCGGAAGGAACACCAGUGGCGAAGGCGGCUUCCUGGACUGUUACUGACACUGAGGCACGAAAGCGUGGGGAGCGAACAGGAUUAGAUA